GCAGGAGUAAGAAAAUUAUGUCAAAUAAUUUCCUCACCAUGGAGCGCCAGCGCUUUGUGCUAUAUCCGAGUGUAAACAGACCAAGGCUGUCACUUCCUCACUUCCUGCAUGUUUCCCACCAAUCAAGCCUAAUGGCUGUGAAACAGAAUUUAACAUUUACAUCUGUAAAUUCUCACCACUUACUUUUCCUCCCAGAUGAGACCGAGGAGGAGGUCAGACCACUGGACAGUGCUAAGUGCCCCUCUCCUGUGCAGAGCACCCCAUGGAUACCGUUCCAGAACGCCUGCUACAACUUCAUGAUCACAAAGAACAGGCAUAAGACAGUCACACCGGAGGAGGUGCAGUCCAUGUGCAAGCAGCUGCAUUCUAAAGCACAUAGUCUGAGUGUUCGAACU
rnacentral:lncRNA from 1 species